rnacentral:misc_RNA from 1 species
GAUGAAGAACGUAGCGAAAUGCGAUAAGUAAUGUGAAUUGCAGAAUUCAGUGAAUCAUCGAAUCUUUGAACGCACAUUGCGCCCGCCAGUAUUCUGGCGGGCAUGCCUGUUCGAGCGUCAUUUCCACCAUCAGGCCCCCGGGCCUGUGUUGGGGACCUGCGGCUGCCCGCAGGCCCCGAAAUUCAGUGGCGGUCGCGCCGUAGCAACCGAGCGUAGUAACUAAAACGUCUCGCUCUGGCUCGCUGGGCGCGCUCCGGCCGUAAAACACCCCCCCUUUUCGCAAAGGUUGACCUCGGAUCAGGUAGGAAUACCCGCUGAACUUAAGCAUAUCAAUAAGCGAGGA